rnacentral:lncRNA from 1 species
CUAUUAAUGGUAAGAAUCCAUUUUCUCUGGUCACACUCUGUACUAACCAUAUGUACCUUGCCAGUUGCCUCCAUAUGCUUGAUAAUUUAUGCAGUGUGGCGUGUUUUGUAGCUUAAGUUUGUAUACAGAAUGGUAAACUGGAUGUCAUUUUGGUUCACAAAGUCUUUAGUUUACAAUUAGCCGAAACUUAGUUAGUAAAAUCUUGACAAAAUUCAUGAAAUAUGUAACUUACUGUCAAUAACAGAACUGUGGUGUUAAAUGCUUAAAGUUUCAGAGUUGUGAUGUCUUCUUAAUUAAUCACUUACUUCUUAUUGGCCUGCUAUCUGUUCUAUUUUGAAUUGCUUACUUGCUCUUGUGGGAUUGCAAAUCUGAUGUUCUGCUUUUUUUUAUCACACGCAAAUCCCAAAAUCAAAGCAUUCAGAAGCCGCCUCGAUCGCAUUGAUGGCAUCUUUUCAGCCAUGUCAUCGAGGAGCACACAAACAACUGCUGCACAAAUGAGAGUAGCUAAUGAAGAAGCCGCCUCAAAUGCAGCAUUUGACGUACGGAACAACAUGGAACAAGUUGUUCCUGGCAGUGAGUUGUAUAAUUGUGCAGGGCAAGAAUUUCUGGCCAACAAGAACAAUCGAGGUUUUUUCAUGAGAGCACCGAACAACCAAGUCCGCUAUGAUAUGAUUUUGUAUGCGUUUAACAAAUUUAGUGGUCCUUGAAUAGAUGCUACUAUUAACAUGUAUCUUUAAAGUUGCAAUUUAGAGAUUUGUCGUGAUAAGAAUUGUCAGGAUAAGAUUUGUCAUUGAACUUUUAGUUGGGAAUUAUUUGCUUUGUACUGUUUCCUUUAUACCGUGUACGUCUAACUUGUUAUGAAUUAUUUUCUUUUAC